rnacentral:rRNA from 1 species
AUGAAUGUUAUCCUUUGUGGAACAAUGGUCAAAACUGUUCGUUGCAUUUUGAUUUAUGCUGUGCUUCUAUGUAGCAGGUUCUUACUAAUGGCCGCUGAAAUUCACCGAAGCCAGUCACUACUUGACAUGGAUGCAUUUAUCGCCCAUGAGCGUCAUGCACAUGCCCUUACAGAGGAGAGAGCCAAUAGUCCUCAGAACAGGCAGAGGUCCAUUCGUGAUGUCUUCUGCAUCAAUCUGUCUGCAGAUCCAUCUUCUGAACAACUAACUGCGUACUAUGCGGAAAGCAAUGCACGUUCACUCAAUAUCUCUUCAUUAAGAGUGCCUGGAAGGUUGAGAGAUGGCACUCUUAUCGAAGUACCAGUUACUGCGGCAACACCGAAGAAUAUUGAGGACACGAGUCAUCACAUCGUGGCUUUCCAUCGAGAGUCAGAUAGAGCUGUGGCAGAAGUUUUAGUGGAGGAUUAUAGUGGAUAUGUUGUUGCGUCCAGAUUUAUCCCGCCUAAAGUUAAGAAGGCAACAGUACGUUUUUGUCACAUUGGCGGGGCCAAGCUGGCCGCAAGGUUUCAGCCAGUGCAUCCAACCAAGUAUGGUCCAGCUUAUGCGCAUCUCGACAAGGUCAGGCUUGGAGUUGGCAUUGUCCCUCAGAUGGUUACUUUUCUGGAGAAGCUUAGCAAGAACCCUGAGCAGGCUGCUACCCAGUAUGGGUAUAUCAUGUUGGCGACCCUUUAUGUUUUGGUCUCUGAAGGCCGGAGGUUUUGGGUUAUCCAGGAAUGGAAUGUAGCGAAUAUCCAGGGUUUCAAACAGGAGCUUUAG